ACGGGGUGGGGGAGGGGGGCGGCGCCAACGGCUGGCCGGCGUGGACGGAAAUUAAAUGAAGGCCGGAGGGAGUAAUCCCCGCAAAGCGCAUCUCUGGCCGCCAUCCUUCCAGCUCCUGGGCUCCCGCCCCGCGCUCUUCCACCCCCCACCCCGACCCCACCCCGGCAGUGAUCGCCUCCGGCAAACUGAACCGUAACCUCGCGAAAUGGAGAAGGGAGACCAUUCCUCACAUCACUAAACAUUUUGUGUGAAGGCCAGCACCCGAAAAAUGCUUAACUACUUGGUGGGAUCAAAUUUCUCAAAGGCAGAGGUCAUCUGUCCGUCCAGGCAGCUGACGAGCCAUGAAGACUAAAUGGAACAUGGGAUCCUGGAUGGCUUCCUGAACCACAGAAGGGACAUUAGUAGGACAGCUGGUGAAACAGGAAUAGUACUGUACCAAUAUUAAUUUCCGGAUUUGGGUAACCGUACUGUGUUUAUGCAACAUCUGGAGAAUUGGGGGAGGGGUGUUUGAGACUUCUUUAGACUGUUUGCAAAAUGUUUGUAAGUUUAAAAAUUCAGAAUAAAAAGUUAAAAAAAAAAAAUUAAAGAGUAAUCAUAGAGACUGCAGAACUCGCUAAAUGAGACAACUCCCAAACUGAUCUGGCUGUGUAAUCAGCUACUAAUUACCAUUAAUGAUGGGAACUGCCUAAUUUCCAGGCAGCACAGUGAGGA